GUUAUAUUUUGAUAAUAAACCGCAUAAAGGUAAUUACAUUAAUAAAACGCAUUUAUAUGGCAUUAUAAUAUUCUAAAAGUUUUUAAAAAAAUUACAGAUAAAUUAAACAUACGUACGUAUAAAAUGAGCAUAUUAUAUAAGCAUCUUUCUGUUUCUAAAAUAAAGACUUAACAUUUCCAGAUGUACAUAUAAACACAAUGUAUCUUUCAUAAAGUGUUUGUCCGACAACUGCAAGAUAUUUAUAUCGUCAAUAUAUUAUAAAAUAAAUUCGACAUUAUUUUAUUGAAAAUGCAAAGCAUGAUCUUGCGUAUGCAGGUUUCAUAGAAAAUUGCAUUGUGACCGAAAAUUAUAAUAUAAAAAAAUACUAAUAUAUAUAACAAUAUAUAUAAUCAAUGAACUUUGAAAACUAACAUAACAUUUUCAGCAAUAUAUAUGUAAUUCUCAAGAUGAAACGCAUAAAGCAUGGGUCUGAAAUUGUAAUUUAGGAAACAUUCGAGCGAUAUUAUCGGGAUAACAUGGAUGACGCGUUGAGAGACACUGGUUGCCUCGGAUGACUGGUCGGUUAAGUCGAGAUACCGGUCUCAUCUAGUAGAACUAGCACCGGAGCUCAAGAGUUGAGCGUAGCAAUAGUCGUUCCAGCUUCCGUGAGAUCUCACACACACAGUCUACACGCGUGCAAGCGCGUACCUUCGCGAGGUGGAGAGCUAAGAAAAAGAUGAAACGCGCGCGACGAGCGCAGAGAAGGGAUAGGAAGCUGUAUAAAGGAACGCUCUAAAGGAAAAGUUGGAAGAGAAGAGAAGAGAGAAGGAGGUGAUCACCGGGAGGAGAGCGAGAGAUAAUUUAACAACUACAUAUACAUACCGGACACAGACGCUGGAUCCUCAGCUUCGGCCGUCCUCGGGGUGCCUCGUGAGGGUUCGGGCACGCGAGAACCACGCGCAUCAAGGUCGCGGCCAUCCACCUUUCCCUCGCGGCAAGUGCACGCACAGGCUACAUCGUCGACGUCGGGGUCCGGUCGACCCGGCGGCCAACGCCGCAACCAGGAUGACCGGCGGCUGUCUCGUUUUUCCAGGGACGCACACAGUCGAUGCAGGUAGAAGAGAAGCGGAGGAGAUCAGCCGGCAACAGAAGCGGAGAAGGGCCCCGGAACAGGGCGAGGUAUAAGCGGCAUCAGAAGAUGGCCGGGAGGUUUGACCCUGCCAAGAAUCCUGCAUCUGCCUGCUCUCUCUCUUCUCAACCCCGCUUCGACCAGCGGCUAAUUUGCCGUCUCCGACUGACCGUGGAACCUGUUAGCGCAGCGAAAUCAGCGCGAAGAUAUGAAAUGCGGUUGCGUCUCCCAUCGGGGUUCGCAAGGAAUGCUAUAGUCUACGUUAGCCAGUAUUGUCGCCAAUUUAUCCACGAUACGAACUCACAUUUUGUGGAAAAGAUCGUGAUCAUAUUACCAUUGAAACCUUUCGACGAGCGAGUUUCUCGACAACGAGCCAUCAUUACGCUCCUGCUAAGCCGUCUUAGCCGGUUUUACAGGUUUCGAAUGACCACAGUAAGUUCACACAUUACGUUGUUUCAUUUAUGUGAAUGCCUCUACAAAGCUAUUGAAAUUUCAGCUAAAAUGCAUAUAUAAUAAUAUUCGCGUAAAGUAGCACUUUCAAAGGUUCUAUAUAUCCCUCGCAAUCCAUGUUUCGCCUCUUACAAUCUUUAUACCGCAUAUUAGAUCACUGGAAAGGCAUUUCCGGUUAUAAUAGUAUUGAUAUCGUAUUCUCCAAAUGUUCGCAAUAAAAGAGUGCCUUACUUGGUA